GCAACGAGCGCAACCCUAUCAUCUGUUGCCAGCAUUUAAGGUGGGGACUCAGAUGAGACUGCCGGUGACAAACCGGAGGAAGGUGGGGACGACGUCAAGUCAUCAUGGCCCUUAUGUCCUGGGCUACACACGUGCUACAAUGGCCGGUACAGAGUGAAGCGAAACCGCGAGGUGAAGCAAACGCAGAAAGCCGGUCUCAGUACGGAUUGGAGUCUGAAACUCGACUUCAUGAAGUUGGAAUCGCUAGUAAUCGCGCAUCAGCAUGGCGCGGUGAAUACGUUCCCGGGCCUU
rnacentral:rRNA from 1 species